UGAAAUUUAAGAAGUGGGAGGAGAUGAAAAGGCUAUCCUAAGCACAAAUUAAAAGUUAAGAGUUGAAAAGAUCUAACAAUGGGAUGCAAUCCAACAGACAAGAAUGUCAUAUAGAAACCAAUUUUCGUUUGGACUUUGACAAGCAAUAAGAAAUAAGCGAUAUCCAGACACCAUGAAGAUCAAGACAUCAAAUAAAGAUAGCCACAUCCAGGCAAGCACUCCAAUAGCUAGAAGUCUUCAUUUUCUUCCAAUGUAUCAGAUGAAAUAUUCCUUGAUCAAC
rnacentral:lncRNA from 1 species